UACGAAGGGAGCUAGCGUUGUUCGGAAUCACUGGGCGUAAAGCGCACGUAGGCGGAUUUGUCAGUCAGGGGUGAAAUCCCGGGGCUCAACCUCGGAACUGCCUUUGAUACAGCAAGUCUUGAGUUCGAGAGAGGUGGGUGGAAUUCCUAGUGUAGAGGUGAAAUUCGUAGAUAUUAGGAAGAACACCGGUGGCGAAGGCGGCCCACUGGCUCGAGUACUGACGCUGAGGUGCGAAAGCGGUGGGGAGCAAACAGG
rnacentral:rRNA from 1 species